rnacentral:rRNA from 1 species
GACGAACGCUGGCGGCGUGCUUAACACAUGCAAGUCGAACGGAAAGGCCCUGCUUUUGUGGGGUGCUCGAGUGGCGAACGGGUGAGUAACACGUGAGUAACCUGCCCUUGACUUUGGGAUAACUUCAGGAAACUGGGGCUAAUACCGGAUAGGAGCUCCUGCUGCAUGGUGGGGGUUGGAAAGUUUCGGCGGUUGGGGAUGGACUCGCGGCUUAUCAGCUUGUUGGUGGGGUAGUGGCUUACCAAGGCUUUGACGGGUAGCCGGCCUGAGAGGGUGACCGGCCACAUUGGGACUGAGAUACGGCCCAGACUCCUACGGGAGGCAGCAGUGGGGAAUAUUGCACAAUGGGCGGAGGCCUGAUGCAGCAACGCCGCGUGCGGGAUGACGGCCUUCGGGUUGUAAACCGCUUUCGCCUGUGACGAAGCGUGAGUGACGGUAAUGGGUAAAGAAGCACCGGCUAACUAAGUG